rnacentral:rRNA from 1 species
CAGUCGCCACGGUAAUACGUAGGUGGCAAGCGUUGUCCGGAAUUAUUGGGCGUAAAGGGCUCGCAGGCGGUUUCUUAAGUCUGAUGUGAAAGCCCCCGGCUCAACCGGGGAGGGCCAUUGGAAACUGGGAAACUUGAGUGCAGAAGAGGAGAGUGGAAUUCCACGUGUAGCGGUGAAAUGCGUAGAGAUGUGGAGGAACACCAGUGGCGAAGGCGACUCUCUGGUCUGUAACUGACGCUGAGGAGCGAAAGCGUGGGGAGCGAACGGGAUUAGAGACCCGCGUAGUCCCUGUCUCUUAUAC